AGCACACACACCACACACUGUGAAGACACUUAAAAUAACCUCAUUAUAAUAACACACUUUAAUUCUCAGAAUACAGGAAGUGAUGAGUCUUUAACACACACAGUCACUCAGUCAGUCUGUCAUUACUGGGACAGUAUGGAGCUCAGUCCACUCCCUGUGGUGCUCUGGUUUAAACCUCGACCACUGCAAUUCUACAUACCAUCAGAUUCAGCGUUCUCAGGUGCAGGGACCAUACCAAGAUGUGGUCACUACUGUGGGAGAGGAUAUCCAACUGGAGAAACCGUGACAGGAGAGAUUGGGGGGAGGGGAUGGGGGAAGAUUCUUAAGAUGGUAACUCAAUUACCACCAAGCAAAAGGUGGAAAUGUAGAAUGCUAUUUUAACGGUAUAAAGCAAAAGACGCAAAUAAUAUAGCUAGUCUCUGCGGUGAAGAAAGUUCAAGUCUAUUGGCUGUCAAACCCAAUAGGCAGAGCUCAUUAUCAUACUAUAAAAUGGCGUUUUUAAAUGCCGUUGUAAGCACGCCAAAACCUUUGGAACCCUUAAAGUGACGCUUUUUACAGCAUUUCAACUAACAUAUAAACGGUGUGAAAAACGACAUUUUUUAUUAUUUUUGCAAGGUAUAUUACAGCAUAGUGAAAAAAUAAUGCCGUAUUUUGCGGCGUAAAAGCAUCCAAAACAAAUUUUUACAAAUUUACAAAUAAAACACGUUUAAUUUUAGGUGAAUUUUGAGCACUUUGGCUUUCCGUAGUUGUCUGAGCUCUUGCCUUGUUUCACGUUUAUUCAGUCAGUGUUCUGGGUUCUGCCUUGUUGUCUGUGUAUCUGUACCCUGUUUUCUCUCGGUUUGUCUGUUGAUUUAUUUUCCAGAUUUUCGUGUUUUUCUUUUUGUUUAAUAUAUUUCCUGGAUCUGUUCGUAUCAGUGCUAUGACCCUGACUGUCUUAACGACCCAGAUUCUGGAUUUGCCCUUAAUAAAUCUCGCUCUUCUCAG